CUUCACGUGAUUCAACAACAACCUUUCAUCUUGGGGGCUCGUCUGGGAUCCUUCAGGACAAGGUACUGGGGCAACUUAUUCUGUGCUUACUGAAGCCCCUGGUCCACAUUCUUCCCAAUCCGCUUCCAUAAUGGGACUGUCUGGAUGAAUCAAAAGGCAUUAACAGAACUCCCGGAGAUGACUCCUGACCCAGCCUCCAAGACAAGCAAGCCUCUAUUUGAGCCAGGAACCGAGGUCCUUAUAAAAACAUUGGGAUCUGGAGGCCCAUCCCUCAAGCCUCUCUGGGAAGAUGGACCUGAUAACCUAUGUGAGCUUACUUCUGCUGACUCCAAAUAUCCUGAGUCUGCUGUUUGAUCCUCAAGACAAUGCCUUCCUGUCCUGAGCUCACUCCUACACUGCAUUCCACAAUCGGUCUAACUGCUGGGUCUGUGGAGCACUC